rnacentral:rRNA from 1 species
AACGAACGCUGGCGGCAUGCCUAACACAUGCAAGUCGAACGAUACCUUCGGGUCUAGUGGCGCACGGGUGCGUAACGCGUGGAAACCUGCCCUUAGGUUCGGAAUAACUCCCCGAAAGGGGUGCUAAUACCGGAUAAUGUCUUCGGACCAAAGAUUUAUCGCCUUUGGAUGGGCCCGCGUUGGAUUAGCUAGUUGGUAGGGUAAAAGCCUACCAAGGCGACGAUCCAUAGCUGGUCUGAUAGGAUGAUCAGCCACGCUGGGACUGAGACACGGCCCAGACUCCUACGGGAGGCAGCAGUGGGGAAUAUUGGACAAUGGGCGAAAGCCUGAUCCAGCAAUGCCGCGUGAGUGAUGAAGGCCUUAGGGUUGUAAAGCUCUUUUAACCGGGAUGAUAAUGACAGUACCGGGAGAAUAAGCUCCGGCUAACUCCGUG